rnacentral:rRNA from 1 species
AUGAACGCUGGCGGCGUGCCUAAUACAUGCAAGUCGAGCGAACAGAUGAGGAGCUUGCUCCUCUGACGUUAGCGGCGGACGGGUGAGUAACACGUGGAUAACCUACCUAUAAGACUGGGAUAACUUCGGGAAACCGGAGCUAAUACCGGAUAAUAUAUUGAACCGCAUGGUUCAAUAGUGAAAGACGGUUUUGCUGUCACUUAUAGAUGGAUCCGCGCCGCAUUAGCUAGUUGGUAAGGUAACGGCUUACCAAGGCAACGAUGCGUAGCCGACCUGAGAGGGUGAUCGGCCACACUGGAACUGAGACACGGUCCAGUCUCCUACGGGAGGCAGCAGUAGGGAAUCUUCCGCAAUGGGCGAAAGCCUGACGGAGCAACGCCGCGUGAGUGAUGAAGGUCUUCGGAUCGUAAAACUCUGUUAUUAGGGAAGAACAAAUGUGUAAGUAACUAUGCACGUCUUGACGGUACCUAAUCAGAAAGCCACGGCUAACUACGUG